UCUUGGUCAUUUAGAGGAAGUAAAAGUCGUAACAAGGUUUCCGUAGGUGAACCUGCGGAAGGAUCAUUAAUGAAACUUCAAAGUCGGCCAAAGGUUGUUGCUGGUGAUUAUUCACAUGUGCACGCCUUUGGUCGCAAAUCCACACACACCUGUGCAUCUAUGACUCGAGGUUGUAAUGACUGAGAGUAACUUUUAUACACUCUUGUAUGUAAUGGAAUGUCUUUUUGUGCUAUAAUGUACAAUAUAAACAACUUUCAACAACGGAUCUCUUGGCUCUCGCAUCGAUGAAGAACGCAGCGAAAUGCGAUAAGUAAUGUGAAUUGCAGAAUUCAGUGAAUCAUCGAAUCUUUGAACGCACCUUGCACCCUUUGGUAUUCCGAAGGGUACGCCCGUUUGAGUGUCAUUGUAAUCUCACUUCUACAACUUUAUUGUUGUUUGAAUGUGGACUUGGAUGUUGCCGUUUUAUCACGGCUCGUCUUAAAUGCCUGAGUGUACCCUGUUUUGCAGCGUAUCCAGUGUAAUAAACAUUUCACUAGAGUUGGUYGAAAGACCRCGUUGACUAUAUGGGCUCUAUGCUUCAAACYGUCUGCCAUGUGGACAAUUUCUUGACAAUUUGACCUCAAAUCGGGUGGGACUACCCGCUGAACUUAAGCAUAUCAAUAAGCGGAGGAAAAGAAACUAACAAGGAUUCCCCUAGUAACGGCGAGUGAAGAGGGAAAAGCUCAAAUUUUAAAUCUGGUGUCUUUGACUCCCGAGUUGUAAUCUAGAGAAGUGUUUUCCGUGUCGGACCGUGUACAAGUUCCCUGGAACGGGGCGUCAUAGAGGGUGAGAAUCCCGUAUAUGCCACGGACUACCGAUGCUCUGUGAUACACUCUCAACGAGUCGAGUUGUUUGGGAAUGCAGCUCAAAAUGGGUGGUAAAUUCCAUCUAAAGCUAAAUAUUGGCGAGAGACCGAUAGCGAACAAGUACCGUGAGGGAAAGAUGAAAAGCACUUUGGAAAGAGAGUGAAACAGUACGUGAAAUUGUUGAAAGGGAAGCGUUUGAAGUCAGUCGCAUCUGUUGGGGUUCAGCCUGGCUUUUGCCUGGUGUAUUUCCUUUCCGAUGGGUCAGCAUCAGUUUCGACCGAGGGAAAAAGACAUUUGGAAUGUGGCUGUCUUCGGGCAGUGUUAUAGCCUUGUGUUGUAUGUCUCGGUUGGGACUGAGGAUUGCAGCGCGCCAUAAAUGGCCGGGGGUCGCUCCUCUCGACACGCGCUUAGGAUGCUGGCAUAAUGGCUUUAAGCGACCCGUCUUG
rnacentral:rRNA from 1 species